GCUUCGGUGGCCUAAUGUUAGAGCGUCCGCUCUCGGAUGCGGGUGGUCAUGGGUUCGAUCCCCGGUUGAGUUA